UACGGAGGGUGCGAGCGUUGUCCGGAAUCAUAGGGCGUAAAGGGCGCGUAGGUGGCGGGACAAGCGUGCGGUGAAAGCCUGGGGCUCAACCCCGGGUCGGCCGUGCGAACUGUUUUGCUUGAGCACUGUAGAGGCAGGCGGAAUUCCGGGUGUAGCGGUGGAAUGCGUAGAGAUCCGGAAGAACACCGGUGGCGAAGGCGGCCUGCUGGGCAGUAGCUGACACUGAGGCGCGACAGCGUGGGGAGCAAACAGG
rnacentral:rRNA from 1 species